UACGAAGGGGGCUAGCGUUGUUCGGAAUUACUGGGCGUAAAGCGCACGUAGGCGGAUAUUUAAGUCAGGGGUGAAAUCCCAGAGCUCAACUCUGGAACUGCCUUUGAUACUGAGGAGCUUGAGUCCGGGAGAGGUGAGUGGAACUGCGAGUGUAGAGGUGAAAUUCGUAGAUAUUCGCAAGAACACCAGUGGCGAAGGCGGCUCACUGGCCCGGUACUGACGCUGAGGUGCGAAAGCGUGGGGAGCAAACAGG
rnacentral:rRNA from 1 species